CCUUAUCACAUCGAAAUACCGGCCCGUACGGUCACCGAAGUUAAGCAACGUUGAGCCUGGUCAGUAUCUAGAUGGGUGACCGCUUGGGAAAACCAGGUGCUGUAAG